rnacentral:rRNA from 1 species
UACAGAGGUCUCAAGCGUUGUUCGGAUUCAUUGGGCGUAAAGGGUGCGUAGGUGGCGCUGUAAGUCGGGUGUGAAAUUUCGGAGCUUAACUCCGAAACUGCAUUCGAUACUGCGGUGCUUGAGGACUGGAGAGGAGACUGGAAUUCACGGUGUAGCAGUGAAAUGCGUAGAUAUCGUGAGGAAUACCAGAGGCGAAGGCGGCUACCUGGACAAUUGCUGACGCUCAGGCACGAAAGCGUGGGGAGCAAAAGGG